rnacentral:rRNA from 1 species
GAUGAACGCUGGCGGCGUGCUUAACACAUGCAAGUCGAACGGUGAACACGGAGCUUGCUCUGUGGGAUCAGUGGCGAACGGGUGAGUAACACGUGAGCAACCUGCCCCUGACUCUGGGAUAAGCGCUGGAAACUGCGUCUAAUACUGGAUAUGUGACGUGACCGCAUGGUCUGCGUUUGGAAAGAUUUUUCGGUUGGAGCUGGGCUCGCGGCCUAUCAGCUUGUUGGUGGGGUAAUGGCUCACCAAGGCGUCGACGGGUAGCCGGCCUGAGAGGGUGACCGGCCACACUGGGACUGAGAUACGGCCCAGACUCCUACGGGAGGCAGCAGUGGGGAAUAUUGCACAAUGGGCGCAAGCCUGAUGCAGCAACGCCGCGUGAGGGAUGACGGCCUUCGGGUUGUAAACCUCUUUUAGCAGGGAAGAAGCGAAAGUGACGGUACCUGCAGAAAAAGCGCCGGCUAACUACGUG